GGCGGGGCGGCUGUGCCUUCUCGAGAGCAGACGGGCCUGGCCCCCCUCAGGCAGCGGCUCGCUAGCCGAGGUUUGGCGCGCAGGUCCCGGCUUUCCGGAGCUUUACUGCUGGAAACCCGGCCUGGAAGAGCGUCCUGGGAUCUCGGGUGAGUUGGCAGGAAGGAAGGUGAUAGCUAGCCUGUGAAGGGGGCCAGAAUAAAUGACCAGCACCAUCCAGAAGAAGGUGGAGAGCCCAACACCGGGAUGAGUACACAAGACUGGGGCUGAGAGACCCACUGAUUUCAGGUGAAUAAGAGUAAUAUGUUUUGCUUUUUUUUUAUUAUUAUUAUUUUUUUAAGGCAUUUUUGCAAAGCGUUGAAAAGCAGUUGAGUGUGCUCAGCUGAAGUUUGCCCCCAUGAGAUGGCUCUGUUGGGGCCCACGCAGCAGGAACCCUUAAGAGAAGGGCUUAGUAGAGACUGUUUGGACUCCAGGAAAUCCAGGCAGGCUAAGGCUUAGGGAAGGGGUCCAGACAAAUGGGGCGUCUGCCUUUGCUUCUGAUGCAGUGAUGGUUUGCAGAGGCACCCCCCAGUGGCCAGUGUGGCCCUGGCUCUGCUCUCAGAUGAGUUGCCUCAGGGACAGGGCACACCCCAGCUUGGAGGUGCCAGGCCUUCAUGUGCCCUAUGUGCACCUUGUGUCGGGGACUGAGGAUGAGGAAGAUCUUCCCUGCAGGGUCCUGGUUCUUAAUCCAGCCAUUGUGUUCAAGGGGGAAGUAAGAUCUUCACAAGCAGAGCACAAGCUGGGUGGGGCUGGGGGACAGAGGGAGGGAGCAUCUGAAGCAGAGUCCACAGCCUAUGGGGAGCCUGACACAGGGCUUGAUCAUGACCCUGACAACAAGACCUGAGCUAAGACCAAGAGUUGGACGCUCCACCGACUGAGCCACCCAGGAGCCCCAAUUCUUUUUUUUUUUUUUUUUUAUGAUUUAAUUAAUGAGAGGCACAGAGAGACACAGAAGCAGAGACAUAGGCAAAGGGAGAAGCAGGCUCCAUGCAGAGCCCAAUGCGGGGACUCGAUCCCAGGACUCCAGGAUCACGCCCUAGGCUGAAGGCAGAUGCCCAACCGAUGAGCCACCCAGGCGUCCCAGGAGCCCCAAUUCUAAACUUUUUUGUGCUAUAUUUGGAUUAUUCCUCCUCUACCCCACAAGGAAGAAAAAUCUAGUUGGGGGAAAAAGAUGUAUGUAGGAUGAGUUUUAAGGUAAGCUGAAGGGUUGAGUGAUUUUUUGCAAUAAAAGUGUUUCUCUUGGCAAAACUUGAAAACUUGGUCUUGAAUAAAUUGUCUUAACUUGGGAUCCCUGGGUGGCGCAGCGGUUUGGCACCUGCCUUUGGCCCAGGGCGUGAUCCUGGAGUCCCGGGAUCGAAUCCCAUGUCGGGCUCCCGGUGCAUGGAGCCUGCUUCUCCCUCAGCCUGUGUCUCUGCCUCUCUCUCUCUGUGUGUGACUAUCAUAAAUAAAUAAAAAUUAAAAAAAAUAAAAAAAAUUGUCUUAACUUGGCUUUUCCUUGCACUGAUUAGCUGAGGCCCAAACAGGACACCAUGUGUGUGCAUGUCCAUGCAUGCACCUGUGGGUGCAGGUAGGAAAGCUCCUCUGGUCCCAAGUCUAUGACAUUCAGGGAAGUACAUGCACAGAGUGUCCGCUCCAGGUUCCCAUGUUGCCUUUCCCAGGCGUUUUUAA